GAUUAAGUGAUGCAUAUCUAAGUACUUGCUGUAUUAAGAUUAAACUGCAAAUGGCUCAUUAAGUCAGCUAUGGUUCUUUGGAUCAUACCUAACUACUUGGAUAAUUGUGGCAAUUCUAGAGCUAAUACAUGCAGCAAAGUUCCAACCCUCUGGAGAUGAGCGCUUUUAUUAGACCAAAACCAACCAAACCUCGUGUCCAUAGUAUGUGAUGACUCUGUAUAACUUGCAGGAGCUCAUCCCGGCAAUAUAUUUUUCAAGUGUCUGCCUAAUCAACUGUCAGUGGUAGGUUGUGUGCCUACCAUGGUCCUGAUGGGGAAUCAAGGUUCAAUUCUGGAGAAGGAGCCUGAAGAUUUGCCUGGCCUUUAAUAUAAAGCACAGC
rnacentral:ncRNA from 1 species